rnacentral:ncRNA from 1 species
AUUGGUGUUGCGGGGCACAUAGUUGAUGAAGGCGAACCCACGCGCCUGAUCAAUCGUGUGAAAAAGAGGGUUCCAGUCGAACAGGGCAAUCAUGAAGGAUGGCAGGGAAUUGGCCACAAACAUCUUGCCGGACGCGAUCAUGUUGGCCCGCUU